rnacentral:tRNA from 1 species
GGACGGGUGGCCGAGCGGUUUAUGGCUCCAGUCUUGAAAACUGGCGUGGGCGCAAGUCCACCGUGGGUUCGAAUCCCACCCCGUCCGCCA